CACCUCUAGCAUUAUCAGUAUUAGAGGCACUGCCUGCCCAGUGACAUUAGUUAAACGGCCGCGGUAUCCUGACCGUGCAAAGGUAGCAUAAUCAUUUGUUCCUUAAUUAGGGACUUGUAUGAAUGGCCCCACGAGGGUUUAACUGUCUCUUACUUUUAAUCAGUGAAAUUGACCUUCCCGUGAAGAGGCGGGGAUAUAACAAUAAGACGAGAAGACCCUAUGGAGCUUAAAUUAAUAUGCUCAACAAAAUUUUAAUUUUGCCCGACAGGAAUAACCACAAUUUAACUGAGCAAUAAAUUUUGGUUGGGGUGACCUCGGAGUAUAACAAAACCUCCGAGUGAUUUUAACUAAGACAUACUCGUCAAAGUUACAUAACCUAUUGAUCCAAUCAUAUUGAUCAACGAAACAAGUUACCCUAGGGAUAACAGCGCAAUCCUAUUCGAGAGUUCAUAUCGACAAUAGGGUUUACGACCUCGAUGUUGGAUCAGGACACCCAAAUGGUGCAGCAGCUAUUAAAGGUUCGUUUGUUCAACG
rnacentral:rRNA from 1 species